AUGUAACCGCUUAUUUGAUAUACAAUAUAGCAUCUUUUUGAUGUUAUAUUACAUCGCCUUGAAAUUACACAGAAUCAACAUUUCCAUUUUUCAUCACAUUGAAGUUGUGUAAUAAUCAGAUCUAAACUAAUCCAAUAUUACACAGAAACAGCUGCAACCAAGUCGUUCCAACUUAGUUGAGUGAUAUUACACAGUUUCGAUGUCAUUUUGCAUUCAACACCAAUGCAAUGAUACAUCUCGCAACACUGCCCCCAACCAAAACAGGCUCGGUGAUUCAAGAUGGCCGGAGUGGCAGCAAUCCGUGAUCGCGUUUUUUUCGUUCGGAUUUAACGUCAGGAAAACUCCGGAAAUCUUAUUUGAAACUGUGAAAAAUAGUGUUUUUAUAAAUCUUACGAGUUGUUCGUAACCGAUGCAAUUGUAGUGUAGUGAAAUAAAAAUGUUGAAAAAAAUCCAAGCGGAACAAAUCCUCCCGCAAAUUUGCAAUGUUUGGAAGUGCCCGCAAAAAAAGAGUCCUACGGUCCUACCGAGCAGUGCUUGGGAUGAACAUCGUCGACCAGCGAUUCCUGAUGCCAAUGGUCGGAAUCCGGAAAGGAGAUCGCCGAAGCAAUCGUUCACAACAUGAGAAGUUCGUUCCCGGUGGUCUCCCUUUUGAUGUUGGAAAGAGGAUCCGGUUUUCCUCCGGAUUUGCAAAUAGAACCACAACUCCUGCAUCCACCAACCUACACGGCACGCAAACAAUGUACCAGGUCAUCCGCAAAGGAACUGCAACGGAGUGGAGCAUAAAACGCGGGAGAGCUCGAUUUAUUAUUGGAUCGGCGACUACGGUGAAACAAGUCGGUACGAAAAACAUGAUCGAGCUCUGUGAACUAUUCUACUGGUUGCGAAGGGAACCUUAACACAUCCGUGAUUGCCUUAAGAUUUGAGUUUCAUCCACUACAGUUUCUCAAAUUCAUCACCGGAAGCGUCCAAGCCAUUAUGUUCCAUAUUUUAAAUAAUUGUUUAGUGAAAAA